UGGGGAAUUUUGGACAAUGGGCGAAAGCCUGAUCCAGCAAUGCCGCGUGUGUGAAGAAGGCCUUCGGGUUGUAAAGCACUUUUGUCCGGAAAGAAAUCCUCUGGGUUAAUACCUCGGGGGGUAUGACGGUACCGGAAGAAUAAGCACCGGCUAACUACGUGCCAGCAGCCGCGGUAAUACGUAGGGUGCAAGCGUUAAUCGGAAUUACUGGGCGUAAAGCGUGCGCAGGCGGUUUUGUAAGACGGAUGUGAAAUCCCCGGGCUUAACCUGGGAACUGCAUUCGUGACUGCAAGGCUAGAGUAUGGCAGAGGGGGGUUAGAAUUGCCACGUGUAGCAGUGAAAUGCGUAGAGAUGUGGAGGAAUACCGAUGGCGAAGGCAGCCCCCUGGGCCAAGUACUGACGCUCAUGCACGAAA
rnacentral:rRNA from 1 species